GACGAACGCUGGCGGCGUGCCUAAUACAUGCAAGUAGAACGCAGUUUCGCACGGGGGAGUAACACGUAGGUAACUGCCCCAUAGCGGGGGUUAAAUAUUGGAAACCAUAGCUAAUACCCCAUACUGUUAGCUAGACCUGCGUUGGAUUUGCUAGUUGGUGAGGUAACGGCUCACCAAGGCGACGAUCCAUAGCCGACCUGAGAGGGUGAUCGGCCACACUGGGACUGAGACACGGCCCAGACUCCUACGGGAGGCAGCAGGAGGGAAUCUUCGGCAAUGGACGGAAGUCUGACGGAGCAACGCCGCGUGAGGGAAUAAGGUUUUCGGGUCGUAAAGCUCUGUUGUGAGAGAAGCGGUAACUAACUAGAAAGCGACGGCUAACUACGUGCCAGCAGCCGCGGUAAUUC
rnacentral:rRNA from 1 species